GAUGAACGCUGGCGGCGUGCCUAAUACAUGCAAGUCGAGCGAACGGACGAGAAGCUUGCUUCUCUGAUGUUAGCGGCGGACGGGUGAGUAACACGUGGAUAACCUACCUAUAAGACUGGGAUAACUUCGGGAAACCGGAGCUAAUACCGGAUAAUAUUUUGAACCGCAUGGUUCAAAAGUGAAAGACGGUCUUGCUGUCACUUAUAGAUGGAUCCGCGCUGCAUUAGCUAGUUGGUAAGGCAACGGCUUACCAAGGCAACGAUGCAUAGCCGACCUGAGAGGGUGAUCGGCCACACUGGAACUGAGACACGGUCCAGACUCCUACGGGAGGCAGCAGUAGGGAAUCUUCCGCAAUGGGCGAAAGUCUGACGGAGCAACGCCGCGUGAGUGAUGAAGGUCUUCGGAUCGUAAAACUCUGUUAUUAGGGAAGAACAUAUGUGUAAGUAACUGUGCACAUCUUGACGGUACCUAAUCAGAAAGCCACGGCUAACUACGUG
rnacentral:rRNA from 1 species